rnacentral:lncRNA from 7 species
AGUGAGGAAGUGGCCAGAAGAGCUCCACCGAUACACUGGAGACCUUCUACCAAUGUCACAAGAUGAAGAAUUCAGAAGAGAACUGUUCUUCGAAACAGGUCUUCCACGUGUUGGGAGAUUUGCACGGCAGAUCCGAGCCUGACUGCUUGUCAUCUUAAGGCAUGAUCAGAAAUCAAAGCACCAGAGUCCAAUUUCAUUAUUAGUGACCACAUUCUACAGAGACAGAGCCUCAAUUGUACCUUAACAUACAGAUUCACGGAGAAAACUUCUUGAGGAUGCAACGUUAUAAAAAGCACUCUGCAAAGAUGUUUCCCUGGGACACAACAGCUGUUCCUCCAAGGAAGGGACAUUACAACUACCCAGCAAAUCCAUGAUAGAUCUGUAAAGCACCUGACAUCUUUUGAGACCGAUGAUUUCAUGUCAUUCUGUAGCAGUAACUUUUCAAUAUUUUUACAUAUACUAUUAUACAAAGCUCCAAAGCAGUUUCACUUUCGAAAAGCCUUGUAUUUCCUUCUGUCUGCAUGCAAUUUCCUCAGAAAGAGCAAAACGUUAACUGUACAAACAGAUGAAUCAGUCGAAAUUUAUAGUGCUUCCCCUCAAAUUUUCACUUCAAAAUACUUAACUAGUUCAACUGUUGCUUUUAGGUAUUCCUUUCUGGAUUCUCUUACCACGUAAAAAAAAACCAAACAACCACAGUUCUGCAAAGGCAUUAGAUCACAGUUGGCAGUGUAGGACUACUUCCGUCACAUUAACUGUGUCAUUGCAAUAGCUAUGUUCAGCUGGGGCAAUUUCAAAGAUGACAGAGAACGAAGAAAAUACAGGAUUUUGCAUGUCUCUGUGAAACAUACAGUACAAUCCUCAGCCACAAGAGGAGGCAGCUUUCAAAUAUGCCUGAAAAUUAAAUCAGAAGUAUGGGAGUUUCACUUCAGCUAAUUCAAACCAUUUGGAUGUAAAUACAGAGCUACAAAAUAAACUCAGUGC